rnacentral:rRNA from 1 species
UGGGGAAUUUUGCGCAAUGGGGGAAAGCCUGACGCAGCAACGCCGCGUGGGUGAAGAAGGGCCUCGGGUCGUAAAGCCCUGUCAGGUGGGAAGAAAUAGUCGCGAGCUAAUAGCUCCUGGUCUUGACGGUACCACCGAAG